GUCUCCAUAGUCUAGUGGUUAGGACGGCGGUCUCAUAGUAAUAUGACAAUUCCUAUCCAAAAGGAUUGGCAAUCCGCAAGCACGAGUUCGAUUCUCGUUGGAGGCA